rnacentral:rRNA from 1 species
GAUGAACGCUAGCUACAGGCUUAACACAUGCAAGUCGAGGGGCAGCAUGAACUUAGCUUGCUAAGUUUGAUGGCGACCGGCGCACGGGUGAGUAACACGUAUCCAACCUUCCGUUUACUCAGGGAUAGCCUUUCGAAAGAAAGAUUAAUACCUGAUAGUAUGGUGAGAUUGCAUGAUAGCACCAUUAAAGAUUUAUUGGUAAACGAUGGGGAUGCGUUCCAUUAGGUAGUAGGCGGGGUAACGGCCCACCUAGCCGACGAUGGAUAGGGGUUCUGAGAGGAAGGUCCCCCACAUUGGAACUGAGACACGGUCCAAACUCCUACGGGAGGCAGCAGUGAGGAAUAUUGGUCAAUGGGCGAGAGCCUGAACCAGCCAAGUAGCGUGAAGGAUGAAGGUCCUACGGAUUGUAAACUUCUUUUAUACGGGAAUAAAGUAUCCUACGUGUAGGAUUUUGUAUGUACCGUAUGAAUAAGCAUCGGCUAACUCCGUGCCAGCAGCCGCGGUAAUACGGAGGAUGCGAGCGUUAUCCGGAUUUAUUGGGUUUAAAGGGAGCGUAGGCGGAUUGUUAAGUCAGUUGUGAAAGUUUGCGGCUCAACCGUAAAAUUGCAGUUGAUACUGGCAGUCUUGAGUGCAGUAGAGGUGGGCGGAAUUCGUGGUGUAGCGGUGAAAUGCUUAGAUAUCACGAAGAACUCCGAUUGCGAAGGCAGCUCACUGGAGUGUAACUGACGCUGAUGCUCGAAAGUGUGGGUAUCAAACAGGAUUAGAUACCCUGGUAGUCCACACAGUAAACGAUGAAUACUCGCUGUUUGCGAUAUACAGUAAGCGGCCAAGCGAAAGCAUUAAGUAUUCCACCUGGGGAGUACGCCGGCAACGGUGAAACUCAAAGGAAUUGACGGAAG